GUAUGCUCCCAGUAAGAGCACCAAGAGCCCAGUAUGACCAGUAACUUGAGCCAUGGGUGCUCCUGGAGGUCCUGGGGAGGCUCCUUCUCCAUCAGGGACCUCAGGUGGGCACCAGUAGGAACCAGUAGAAACCAGUAUGCUCCCAGUAUGAACCAGUAUGCUCCCAGUAAGAGCACUAAGAGACCAGUACCACCAGUAACCCCCAGUAACGUGAGCCGUGGGUGCUGCUGGAGGUCCUGGGGGGCUUCCUUCUCCAUUAAGAACCUCAGGUGGGCACCAGUAGGAACCAGUAGAAACCAGUAUGAACCAGUAUGCUCCCAGUAAGAGCCCAGUAAGAGCAGUAAGCUCUUAGUAAGAGCACUACAAGCCCAGUAUGACCAGUAACUUGAGCCAUGGGUGGGCCUGGAGGGCUUCCUUCUCCAUCAAGGACCUCAGGUGGGCACCAGUAUGCUCCCAGUAUGAACCAGUAUGCUCCCAGUAAGAGCAGUAAGCUCUUAGUAUGACCAGGAAGCGCCCAGUAAAAGCCCAGUAUGACCAGUAACCCACAGUAACUUGGGCUGUGGGUGCUGCUGGAGUUCCUGCACCCUUCCCAGUGCUCCCAGUAACCCCGCCCAGUCCUCCCAGUGCUCCCAGUAACCCCUCCCAGUCCUCCCAGUAACCUCCCAGCACCUCUAAACCACAACCACCACCCCAAAACCCCAUUAAAACCGCCCCAAACCCACCCCAAACCCCUCCCAGUCCCUCCCAGUCCCUCCCAGUGCUCCCAGUAACCCCUCCCAGUCCUCCCAGUCACCUCCCAGCACCUCUAAACCACAACCACCACCUCAAAACCCCCCUAAAACCACCUCAAACCCACCCAAAACCCCUCCCAGUCCCCCCAGUAACCCCUCCCAGUAGCUCCCAGUUCUC
rnacentral:lncRNA from 1 species